rnacentral:lncRNA from 1 species
GAAGUUCGAGAUCUCUUCCAAUUCAGAGACGGGGUUUCACCAUGUUGCCCAGGCUGGUCUAGAAGUCCUGGGCUGAAGCGAUCCGACCGCCUCCCAAAGUGCUGGGAUUACAGGAGUGAGCCAUCUCGCCCAGCCGAAAAAGUGUUUUUUGAUCUUAAAAUCUUACGUGGAAUGAAAGUGAACAAUGAGGCAAUGAAAGUGGAAGUUUCUCUUAAGCAAACACAGAAGUCAACCAUUCCAGCUUUCUAAGAUGGAGAUAAGGAACUUGUGAACCUCUGCCUAGAUUUCAG